rnacentral:rRNA from 1 species
AAACGAGAAUUUUUAGAAAAAGCGUUUUCUAGUGAUUACUUUCACAAAAGUGAUGAACAUCUUAAAAUGAUUGGUGUUUAUUCUAUUGAUUCCUUGCUUGGUAAAUAUAAGAUUGAUGAAAAAGGGACUGUAGAAGAGUCAACUUUAGUUAGAAGGCGUCCCAAUAAUUCAGAGGGUGAAAAUUUUGUUGAGAAAAUUGAUAAAAGUGGGUUUGAAGAGGUCAAAACUUUAGCUAGUGAUGUGCCCAGUCUUUUGAUUUACAAAGACUUUAAUUAUCAUAGUUGCUCUUUGAUUGAUUGUAUUUCUUUGUUG